rnacentral:rRNA from 1 species
UACUACGUGCCAGCAGCCGCGGUGAUACGUAGGGUGCGAGCGUGUCCGGAUUUAUUGGGCGUAAAGGGCUCGUAGGUGGUUGAUCGCGUCGGAAGUGUAAUCUUGGGGCUUAACCCUGAGCGUGCUUUCGAUACGGGUUGACUUGAGGAAGGUAGGGGAGAAUGGAAUUCCUGGUGGAGCGGUGGAAUGCGCAGAUAUCAGGAGGAACACCAGUGGCGAAGGCGGUUCUCUGGGCCUUUCCUGACGCUGAGGAGCGAAAGCGUGGGGAGCGAACAGGCUUAGAUACCCUGGUAGUCCACGCUGUAAACGGUGGGUACUAGGUGUGGGGUCCAUUCCACGGGUUCCGCGCCGUAGCUAACGCUUUAAGUACCCCGCCUGGGGAGUACGGCCGCAAGGCUAAAACUCAAAGGAAUUGACGGGGCCCCGCACAAGCGGCGGAGCAUGCGGAUUAAUUCGAUGCAACGCGUAGAACCUUACCUGGGUUUGACAUGGAUCGGGAGUGCUCAGAGAUGGGUGUGCCUCUUUUGGGGUCGGUUCACAGGUGGUGCAUGGCUGUCGUCAGCUCGUGUCGUGAGAUGUUGGGUUAAGUCCCGCAACGAGCGCAACCCUUGUUCACUGUUGCCAGCACGUUAUGGUGGGGACUCAGUGGAGACCGCCGGGGUCAACUCGGAGGAAGGUGGGGAUGACGUCAAGUCAUCAUGCCCCUUAUGUCCAGGGCUUCACGCAUGCUACAAUGGCUGGUACAGAGAGUGGCGAGCCUGUGAGGGUGAGCGAAUCUCGGAAAGCCGGUCUCAGUUCGGAUUGGGGUCUGCAACUCGACCUCAUGAAGUCGGAGUCGCUAGUAAUCGCAGAUCAGCAACGCUGCGGUGAAUACGUUCCCGGGGCUUGUACACACCGCCCGUCAAGUCAUGAAAGUUGGUAACACCCGAAGCCGGUGGCCUAACCGUUGUGGGGGAGCCGUCGAAGGUGGGACUGGUGAUUAGGACUAAGUCGUAACAAGGUAAC